rnacentral:rRNA from 1 species
GGAUUAGAUACCCUGGUAGUCCACGCCGUAAACGAUGUCUACUAGUUGUCGGGACUCUUGCAGUCUUGGUAACGCAGCUAACGCGAUAAGUAGACCGCCUGGGGAGUACGGCCGCAAGGUUAAAACUCAAAUGAAUUGACGGGGGCCCGCACAAGCGGUGGAGCAUGUGGUUUAAUUCGAAGCAACGCGAAGAACCUUACCUGGCCUUGACAUACUGUGAACUUGCUAGAGAUAGCUUGGUGCCUUCGGGAACACAGAUACAGGUGCUGCAUGGCUGUCGUCAGCUCGUGUCG